GAUGAACGCUGGCGGCGUGCUUAAUACAUGCAAGUCGAACGGAAAGACCCUGCUUUUGUUGGGUGCUCGAUUGGCGAACGCGUGAGUAUAACAUGAGUAACCCGUCCCUAUCUUUGUGAUAAAUCUAGGAAAAUCGGGCUAAUACCGGGUAUGAUCUCCUGCUCCACGGUGGGCGUUGGUAAAUUUCGGCGGUUGGGGCUCGGUUGGCAGCUUAUGCGCCUGAUGGUGAGGUAGUGGCGUACCAAGGUUUCGACGGGUAGCCGGCCUGGGAGGUGGACCGGCCACCAUGGGACUGCGAUACGGCGCAGACUCGUAUGGGAGGCAGUGGGCGGGAAUAUUACACAGUGGCCGGAAGCCAGAUGCGACAGCGCCGCGUGCGGGAUGACGUGCUUCGGGUUGUAAACCGCUGUGGCCUGUGACAUAGCGUGAUUGACGGUAAUGGGUAAGGAAGCACCGGCUAACUACGUG
rnacentral:rRNA from 1 species